UACGGAGGGGGCAAGCGUUGUCCGGAUUUACUGGGCGUAAAGAGCGCGUAGGUGGUUCAUUAAGUCGGCUGUGAAAGCGCUGGGCUCAACCCAGCAACUGCAGUUGAUACUGGUGGACUCGAGUCCGGGAGAGGGAAGCGGAAUUGCUGGUGUAGCGGUGGAAUGCGUAGAUAUCAGCAAGAACACCGGUGGCGAAGGCGGCUUCCUGGACCGGUACUGACGCUGAGGCGCGAAAGCUAGGGGAGCGAACGGG
rnacentral:rRNA from 1 species